AAGAGUCCACACAAGUAGUUAUUAAAGCUUCACAAUCUAUAUAAUGAUAUACACAUAUAGGUAAAUAUGAGAUGUGAUGUCCAUGGCUAAAUGUGACAGACGGAGUAGGGACGGGGCUCCAUUCGAACUGAGAUCUGGAGAACAAAGGAAAACGAAAUUUAUUUUUAUUUGCUUUGCUUAACUGGGUACAUAAAAUAGCAUACGUAAAUCAUAUGACUUGUAAUUGCAUUUCUUAUAUUAAAUUGAAGACGCAUCGUGCGUUAUAACACGUUAUAUUGCUUUACACAUUACGAAUACAUUAGUGCAUCGUGUGGCACAUGUGAGCAAGUACACACACAGUAGAAUCGAUAAAACAAAACGGAUGUUCAAAAAUGUAAUCCAGCCAGAAACUGUGACAUCUCUUGCUGUCAAUUUGUACGAAGUGGACUGACCAAAGAAAGAUUUUCGUUAACAAUCCACAACUCAACUCCAAGAACAUGACAGUAUUAGAAAUAAAGACCUUGCAAACCUGUUAAGGUAUCAGGGCUACCCACAAAACAUUUGUUUAUCCAAGGGAGUCAACUUUCGACAAAAUGACAGAAACGACUCCGUUCAUGAUGCUGAGGGCCGACC